rnacentral:rRNA from 1 species
CCUACGGGUCGCACCAGUGGGGAAUAUUGCACAAUGGGCGCAAGCCUGAUGCAGCCAUGCCGCGUGUAUGAAGAAGGCCUUCGGGUUGUAAAGUACUUUCAGCGGGGAGGAAGGCAAUAAGGUUAAUAACCUUGUCGAUUGACGUUACCCGCAGAAGAAGCACCGGCUAACUCCGUGCCAGCAGCCGCGGUAAUACGGAGGGUGCAAGCGUUAAUCGGAAUUACUGGGCGUAAAGCGCACGCAGGCGGUUUGUUAAGUCAGAUGUGAAAUCCCCGGGCUCAACCUGGGAACUGCAUCUGAUACUGGCAAGCUUGAGUCUCGUAGAGGGGGGUAGAAUUCCAGGUGUAGCGGUGAAAUGCGUAGAGAUCUGGAGGAAUACCGGUGGCGAAGGCGGCCCCCUGGACGAAGACUGACGCUCAGGUGCGAAAGCGUGGGGAGCAAACAGGAUUAGAUACCCUUGUAGUC